rnacentral:rRNA from 1 species
AUGCGGACUGUUUCUGAUGGGCUCCAGGCUAACGCUUGGGCUCGUGACAUCGAGGGCACGCUGGGCGUCCACGAGAUCGGCCAGUAUAUACGGCUCUGGCACGCUGUCGAGCGCAUUACCCUGACCACGAAGCCUGAUUGACUCCUCUGGAAAUGGACUACGGGCGGAUCCUACUCUGCAAAGUCCUGCUACAAGGCCACCUUCCAGGGUUCAAUCCAUAGUGAGUCUUAGAAAUUUGUUUGGAAGAACUGGGCGCCCCCUCGGGUACGUUUCUUUCACUGGCUCGCCAAUCAGGACAGAUGUUGGACCACCGACCGCCUGGCACGCCGAGGACUGCAACACCACACCUCAUGCCUCCUUUGCACUGGCUCGCCGAUCAGGACAGAUGUUGGACCACCGACCGCCUGGCACGCCGAGGACUGUAACACCACACCUGAUGCCUGCUUUGAUGCCAGAGCACCGAGAAGAUGA